CUUAUUCAUUGAACUUUUUUACAGAUGAAACUCAGUUUGUAGGGUUUACAGUUCCCGUGCAUAAGGCGAAGCUAUUACUGGCGAAGAAGACUCGGUCCUUGUGGGCAAGUCUAGGGUCGUUUAGCUUACCACGAAUUAAGUAAAUAUACGAAUCAUUCUUCUAGGUUUACUCCGGUGAGCCAACAAACAAAGUGACCGAUGCAACCUGAAACUGCACCGGCAAACCAGCAAGCUCCUUCACUUGACAGGGGAAAACAAAAUAUUUGUUCUUCUUUGCAAAAUAAUAUGUAUAAAUGAUCAGUGAGGUAGGGCUUGCCAAUGAAAUCAAGUUCUUGCUACUGUUGUUGACAGAACCAUACUAUUUUUUCUGUUUAAUCACAGAGUCCUGCUUGAUAAAAAAAACUUACGGGUAACAACAGUUCUACACACCAUAUUCUGACAGGAAUGAAAUAUCAACAGUAAUGGAGAAGGUGAUAAAUUAAUUGGGAUCUUCCGUUCAACAUGGUGGAGCUGGUGUACAACAUCUGAUACAGCUUGAAGCCUCUCUCUCUCUCUCAUAUUGAAUAUUCGGAUGCAGCAUCAUCUAUACGUGUACAUCCAUCAGGCCCUCUUUCCCUACAAUUUUCUCUAUCGACAGCCAUGUUCUCCUCUUCUCCGACUAAAGAGAUACUUGCAGCCUAGACUCCCCUACAAAUCAGACACCGGAGGCUCUCGAAGAUGUGGUGUUCAAUCAAUCAAGUGUCAGUUUACCGAGUUGGAGGACAUUACUUGAUAGGCUCUAAAUCCAGAGCUUUUUUCAGUCAUUUAAGCAUAAGUCUUAGAAUGACUUGAGGAUGUCGAUGCAAAAUUCAAUCUACAUUUCCAUGUUCGUUGACCUAUUCAAUAUAGUUUGAUAGAAUCAUGCAUACUAAGUAUCUCAUGUAGUCAUCUAGAUGUGUCUUAGUCAAUGCAUUCAACAUAUUUUUUUCUCCAUGUAACAUGCUACCAUUUCUAAGCCAACUGUUACCUCAGAUGUUUACUUCCUUUUUUAAAGCACGUGCCCUUAUAUUGGUUUACUGAAUACUCUUUUCUUGAGGAUACAGGGCAAGUUGUCUGCUUCUAAAACGUGCAAGACAUCUGAGUUUUAGCAUAGAAAGUUGUCUUGUUUUGUUACUUAUCAAAGGAUGUAUUAUUGA